GGGGAUUUAGCUCAGCGGUAGAGCACUUGCCUAGGAAGCAUAAGGCCCUGGGUUCGGUUCCCCAGCUCUA
rnacentral:tRNA from 1 species